rnacentral:rRNA from 1 species
UACGGAAGGCAGCAGUGGGGAAUAUUGCACAAUGGGCGAAAGCCUGAUGCAGCUAUGCCGCGUGUAUGAAGAAGGCCUUCGGGUUGUAAAGUACUUUUCAGUCGUGAGGAAGGUGUUAAGGUUAAUAACCUUAGCAAUUGACGUUAGCGACAGAAGAAGCACCGGCUAACUCCGUGCCAGCAGCCGCGGUAAUACGGAGGGUGCGAGCGUUAAUCGGAAUUACUGGGCGUAAAGGGCACGCAGGCGGUUAAUUAAGUUGGAUGUGAAAUCCCCGGGCUUAACCUGGGAAUGGCAUUCAAGACUGGUUAGCUAGAGUCUUGUAGAGGGGGGUAGAAUUCCAUGUGUAGCGGUGAAAUGCGUAGAGAUGUGGAGGAAUACCGGUGGCGAAGGCGGCCCCUGGGACAAAGGACUGACGCUCAUGUGCGAAAGCGUGGGGAGCAAAC